rnacentral:rRNA from 1 species
GAUGAACGCUGGCGGCGUGCCUAAUACAUGCAAGUCGAGCGAAUGGAUUAAGAGCUUGCUCUUAUGAAGUUAGCGGCGGACGGGUGAGUAACACGUGGGUAACCUGCCCAUAAGACUGGGAUAACUCCGGGAAACCGGGGCUAAUACCGGAUAACAUUUUGAACCGCAUGGUUCGAAAUUGAAAGGCGGCUUCGGCUGUCACUUAUGGAUGGACCCGCGUCGCAUUAGCUAGUUGGUGAGGUAACGGCUCACCAAGGCAACGAUGCGUAGCCGACCUGAGAGGGUGAUCGGCCACACUGGGACGGAGACACGGCCCAGACUCCUACGGGAGGGAGCAGUAGGGAAUCUUCCGCAAUGGACGAAAGUCUGACGGAGCAACGCCGCGUGAGUGAUGAAGGCUUUCGGGUCGUAAAACUCUGUUGUUAGGGAAGAACAAGUGCUAGUUGAAUAAGCUGGCACCUUGACGGUACCUAACCAGAAAGCCACGGCUAACUACGUGCCAGUAGCCGCCGUAA